GGAAUCUUCCGCAAUGGACGAAGGUCUGACGGAGCAACGCCGCGUGAGUGAUGAAGGUUUUCGGACUGUAAAACUCUGUUGUCAGGGACGAAGGUGCGAUCUGCGAAUAGUUGAUCGUAUUGACGGUACCUGACGAGGAAGCCACGGCUAACUACGUGCCAGCAGCCGCGGUAAUACGUAGGUGGCAAGCGUUGUCCGGAAUUAUUGGGCGUAAAGAGCAUGUAGGUGGGCUUUUAAGUCCGAUGUGAAAAUGCGGGGCUCAACCCCGUAUGGCAUUGGAUACUGGAAGUCUUGAGUGCAGGAGAGGAAAGGGGAAUUCCCAGUGUAGCGGUGAAAUGCGUAGAUAUUGGGAGGAACACCAGUGGCGAAGGCGCCUUUCUGGACUGUGUCUGACACUGAGAUGCGAAAGCUAGGGUAGCAAAC
rnacentral:rRNA from 1 species